GGUGAGAUAGUGUAGAGGUUAACACACUAAGCUACGCAGCGAGGAGCCCUAGGUUCGAUUCCUAGUCUUACCU
rnacentral:tRNA from 1 species